CAGGCAACCAGGACACGUAUAUGUGUUGACAAUAUCUGAUGAUCCAGAGUAACUUAAUGGAGUGAUAUGAAGCUGCUCCAGCCUAAUGGCUUGGGUUGAAAGAGACUUUGAAGACCAUCUAGUCCAACUCUCCUGCCAAAGGCUUUGAUCCCUUCAGCUAGACCAGGGGGCUCAAAGUCCCAUCUGAUGUGUCCUGGAACAUCCAAAUUCACUGAGAUCAGACAUGAUGGUUGAAGAGCUACUUCUACUGGCCCUGGCCUUUGAACCACCUCCCACGGGAAUUUCAUUGAGUGGAAAAGCACAACAUUAGACCAACUCUUUCCAGGUUCCUGAAGUGCCAGAAGCCAGCUUUGUCUGGAGAUACAUCAGAAAGCUGACCUUCAAGGCAGUUAUGUGAUCCAGGCUGGGAUAGCUCUGACAGGAAGCUUAUAUUACAUCAAGCCAUCCAGCUAAGACUGCAGAGUGGUAGGUUUCGCAGCUUGCCUAGAGAAUGCACAAAAUGCUGGCUGACAGUGACCACCCUACAGCCAGACUGGAAGGACCUGGAGAGCAGCUAGUAUGCCAUGAGUCAGCCAAAGAGAUGGCCAGCAGGGAGUCUGCAGGAUUACUGGCAGAAAGGCUGGGGGUGUAAAGAACAACACUACCCUGAGUACUUGGUUUGGAGACUGAGCUUUCCAAUCAAUACAUCCAAACAGUCUGAGUUUGAGAGAAAUCUGCAUUUCCUUUCACACUCAUGUGUGAACAGGACAGAAAUCGAGAAUGCCAUUAAAACUGUCUAGAAUGAGUAGAAAGAAAUUCCCAUCCAUCAAAGUGUUUCUAUGAUUUCUUUAGGGUACAUAUUUCCAUAAGUGUUGUGAUACAUAUUUCCCCUCUCAUUUUGGACUCUGUAAUUGUGCUUUUUCCAGAGGCUGCUCUCUCCAGCACCCUCACCACUUUUUCCUGGUGAUGUUUUUGUAACUUUGCUAAAUAUCCAGUCAUGAACUCUGUGAAAAAAAUAUCCAUUAAUUUUAUCCUUCCCUCCUAAUAGACAAGCUGGUCUUACCUUCAGCUGAGUUCAAAAGACAGAUGUCUUCCAGGGGAAUGGGGAGAGAAGACACAGGAAGAAACAGGGAGGAUACUCUUUCUUUUGGGGACAAAAGGUGAAAAAAUUCCUGUCUCUGAGCAUUUCUCAAGAUUUCUCAAGACUACUGUUUAUAAAAGAAUUUGAAUAAAUGAGGCAGAAAAUGAUAGAGGAGAAAGAGGCUGGUAACAAAAUUAUCAUUUUAAUUUACAAAUCUAAUGGGCUUCUUUCAGUAAUUUAGCUCUCCUUUAGAAAGUAGUUAAAAUAUCCUCCUUGUAUCUUUGCUAUACACAUAAAAUAAUUCCUGAAACCUUUCUUCCUUUUCAUUGCUUAAGGAAACCUUCUUGGGUGUUGGAGAAAGGAGAAUUCCCUAAGCAGUCUUCAGCUGCAAUCAUUGUGUUAUGUAGCCAUGCAGCUUGCCAGGCUGACAUACAUGUGGCAGAGAUUGUCAUCCAGUG